AUUGAACGCUGGCGGCAGGCCUAACACAUGCAAGUCGAGCGGCGCGGCGGCCGGGUGAGUAAUGCCUAGGAAUCUGCCUGGUAGUGGGGGAUAACGUCCGGAAACGGGAGCUAUUACUGCAUACUCUCAGCAUCACCUAGAUCGGAUUAGCUAGUUGGUGGGGUAAAGGCAUACAAAGGCGACGAGCAGUAACUGGUCUGAGAGGAUGAUCAGUCACACUGGAACUGAGACACGGUCCAGACUCCUACGGGAGGCAGCAGUGGGGAAUAUUGGACAAUGGGCGAAAGCCUGAUCCAGCCAUGCCGCGUGUUUGAAGAAGGUCUUCGGGUUGUAAAGCACUUUAAGUUGGGAGGCGUUACCAACAGAAUAAGCACCGGCUAACUUCGUGCCAGCAGCCGCGGUAAUAC
rnacentral:rRNA from 1 species